UAACAAAAAAAUCUUCUUACUUACUCCUCUAUUCAAAUGUUCCAACAUUCAGACAUAACAAAAAAAUCUUCUUACUUACUCCUCUAUUCAAAUGUUCCAACAACACUCUCUGUUUUCUUCUUGUGAUGAUCUGUUCUGCUUUACUACUCUCAAGCUUAUCCCUGAUUUUCUCAUUCACCGAGCCAUAUAUAAGAGACAUCUCACCCUGUAAGUUUACGAAGAAGAACACGCUAACUCGAAUGGAGUGUGUAAAAUGGGAAGGUGAUCCACUCACUCACAUUCAAAUUGUUUGAAGGUCCAGGCGGUGUAAUGACAGAGUCUUUGGGAAUGCCAUACUUUGAUUGAGAGUAUGAUGUGUGACGAUUGCUUGCAAGAGAUGUGAAGUGUGUGUGACGUAUGUAUUUGUAAAAUAUGUGUAUAUGUACUUUGUUGUAUAGAUGAAUGUGUUGGAUGUGGAGGUAUAGAUGAAUGAUAGGGUGUGCAUGUGGAUGUUGACGGUAUAGAUGAAUGUUUAGGGUGUGGGUGAGUGUGUAUAGAUGAGAUAAAUGUAUAUAGGGUGUAUUAUAUAUAGAUGAGAUAUUAUUAUGAUGUGCAUGUGGAUGCCAUAGAUGAAUGUUUAGGGUAUAGGUGUGUAUAGAUGAGAUAAAUGUAUAUAGGGGUAUGUCGUGAUUCGUGAUAAUAUAUAGGGUGUGAAAAUGCGGAUGGUAUAGAUGAAUGUGUAGGGUGAGCCGGUGAGCCGGUGGGUGUAUAUUGUAAGAUGAAAUGAUAUCGCGCAUCAAACGAAAA